rnacentral:tRNA from 1 species
UGGACGGAUGCUCGUUGGUUUGAGCGUUUAGCUGUUAACUAGAAGUUUGUAGGAUCGAGGCCUACUCGUCCAG